GUAGCGUUGAAACACUGCUUCCCAUAUGGUAACCGAAGUUAACCAACAUUGAGCUUGGUCAGUACCUAGAUGGGUGACCGAUUGGGAAUACCAAGUACUGCAAG